UACGAAGGGGGCUAGCGUUGCUCGGAAUUACUGGGCGUAAAGCGCACGUAGGCGGCUUCUUAAGUCGGUGGUGAAAUCCUGGAGCUCAACUCCAGAACUGCCUUCGAUACUGGGAGCUCGAGUCCGGGAGAGGUGAGUGGGAACUGCGAGUGGUAGAGGUGAAAUUCGUAGAAUAUUCGCAAGAACACCAGUGGCGAAGGCGGCUCACUGGCCCGGUACUGACGCUGAGACGCGAAAGCGUGGGAGCAA
rnacentral:rRNA from 1 species